rnacentral:rRNA from 1 species
AUUGAACGCUGGCGGCAGGCCUAACACAUGCAAGUCGAACGGUAACAGGAAGCAGCUUGCUGCUUUGCUGACGAGUGGCGGACGGGUGAGUAAUGUCUGGGAAACUGCCUGAUGGAGGGGGAUAACUACUGGAAACGGUAGCUAAUACCGCAUAACGUCGCAAGACCAAAGAGGGGGACCUUCGGGCCUCUUGCCAUCGGAUGUGCCCAGAUGGGAUUAGCUAGUAGGUGGGGUAACGGCUCACCUAGGCGACGAUCCCUAGCUGGUCUGAGAGGAUGACCAGCCACACUGGAACUGAGACACGGUCCAGACUCCUACGGGAGGCAGCAGUGGGGAAUAUUGCACAAUGGGCGCAAGCCUGAUGCAGCCAUGCCGCGUGUAUGAAGAAGGCCUUCGGGUUGUAAAGUACUUUCAGCGGGGAGGAAGGGAGUAAAGUUAAUACCUUUGCUCAUUGACGUUACCCGCAGAAGAAGCACCGGCUAACUCCGCG